AGCAGCCGCGGUAAUUCCAGCUCCAAUAGCGUAUAUUAAAGUUGUUGCAGUUAAAAAGCUCGUAGUUGAAUUUCGAGAUCAAAUUGUUGGUCGUGCCUCGGUACGUACUGGCAUUAUUGAUUUCUCCCUUCUGAAGAACCACGAUGUCAUUAAUUUGGUGUCGUGGGGAAUCAGGACUGUUACUUUGAAAAAAUUAGAGUGUUUAAAGCAGGCUCACGCUUGAAUACAUUAGCAUGGAAUAAUGAAAUAGGACGUUUGAUUCUAUUUUGUUGGCUUCUAGGAUCGACGUAAUGAUUAAUAGGGAUAGUUGGGGGCAUUAGUAUUCAAUUGCCAGAGGUGAAAUUCUUGGAUUUAUUGAAGACUAACUACUGCGAAAGCAUUUGCCAAGGAUGUUUUCAUUAAUCAAGAACGAAAGUUAGGGGAUCGAGACGAUCAGAUACCGUCGUAGUCUUAACCAUAAACUAUGCCGACUAGGGAUCGGAUGAUG
rnacentral:rRNA from 1 species